ACGGACUGAAAAUCCGUUGGCUUUUUAGACCGUGAGGGUUCAAGUCCCUCUACCCCCA
rnacentral:tRNA from 1 species